rnacentral:misc_RNA from 1 species
UUAACUAUUUUAUAGUACUCAGACGACAAAAAUUACAGAGUUGUGGUCCUCUAGCGGGCGCUCUCCAGCCCGAAAGCCGGUGCUCGCACCUGAGUGCUCGCGGCCCACUAAAGCAACAAGUGAAUAUAAUCAAGGGUGAGAAGGACCGGUUGCCCGGCUUCAUUUUUAAUGAUCCUUCCGCAGGUUCACCUACGGAAA